rnacentral:misc_RNA from 1 species
CAAUUUUCUUCUUUUGUUCUUCUGAAGGUAAUCACCAAAAUAAAAGCCUCAAGAACAAGCUGCGACUUGCGGCUAUAUGCCUCCGUUGGGUUUUCAAAAUUUUUUAUUUGCUGGUUCAAGUUUUUCUUCCAUUGCACGGAUUAAACCGGAGACAUUUAAUUUACGUAAUUGUUUUAAGCCACUUUGAUUAUUACUAUCUGGUUAUUCUACGAUUCUGUACUAAUUGAUUUGUCUUAAAUCGAAAUUUGAUGUUUUAAUUUAAAUUAGACACAACCAAAAGGAUAACAUAUAGAUUAACCCACCUCAACCAAAUUAAAUUUUUUAUAGACUUUCACAGAAUAUAAGAAGGCUUAAAUAUGCAUAACUUUGCUUGAGAAUGGAUUUAAUUAUGUCACGACCCAACCUAUGG